AUUGAACGCUGGCGGCAGGCCUAACACAUGCAAGUCGAGCGGAGCGGCGGAAGGGAGAGUAAGGCCUAGGAAUCUGCCUGGUAGUGGGGGAUCACGUCCGAAAACGGGCGAUAAUCCCGCAUACUAUCAGAUGAGCCUAAGUCGGCUUAGCUAGUUGGUGGGGUAAAGGCCUAACAAGGCGCAUGUCCGUAACUGGUCUGAGAGGAUGAUCAGUCACACUGGAACUGAGAAACGGUCCAGACUCGUACGGGAGGCAGCAGUGGGGAAUAUUGGACAACUGGCGAAAGCCUGAUCCAGCCAUGCCGCGUGUGUGAAGAAGGUCUUCGGAGUGUAAAGCAAUUUAAGUUGGGAGGCGUUACCAACAGAAUAAGCACCGGCUAACUUCGUGCCAGCAGCCGCGGUAAUUC
rnacentral:rRNA from 1 species